UUUACUUUUACACUUUGUUUGAUACCAUAAUUCAACUUUACCAUCACUCUAGAAACAUUUUCAUAAAUACCUAAAUCAUUAAUGGCCAAAUGACUAAACUAACCUUUUUCAAUUUAUCUCUGAUUUUUCCAAUCUCGUCUUCUUCGUCAAGCUUCGGUGCCAUCUUCAUCGAGUCUCGCCGUCGCCGUAUUCAAGAGGCGGCGCUGCUGCUCCUUCCUCCUGAACAGUGUUCUCUCUCCUCUUAUCUCUCAGCUCCGAUGAAUCCUCCCUCCAGCUCCCGCGAUGACGCGUCUUCAGCAAAUCCCGAUGGUGUCCUUCCUGCUUUCUUCUUCUGCACCGACGACUCAGACAGCUCAGCUCAACCAUGGCGUUCACCUAAGUUUGAAGAAUCCCUCAGUUGCACGUGGUUACGAUGGGGAUGGACUUGAGGGUUGUUCCGGCAGAGGAGUGGUGGGAAGAAUGAGGGAGAGAUUCUAGCCUCGAUGGUGAAAGUGACCUAGGCCUUAUGGUUACGGAUUUUCUCGAGAUGGGAGGUGGUGGAAGCGGUGGUGACCUAGGCCUUAUGGUUACGGAUUUUCCGGAUCCUUCUUACCUUUCCGAUAAGAUUCAGAAUAAACGUACAGCAAAGAACAUCAUUGAUUUUGUCAUCUGUACAUAGUUGCUAAUCACAUUCCAAUGGAUAGCACUUGCCUAGAGAAUUGUUUCCAGUGUGCUCUCUUCUGAUGCUUAUAAUGUUCUUGCAACUUCACACCCCUUUGUGGCUGAGGAUUUCCUCACAAUUUCAAGGCUCAUCAAAAUGGUGUAUGAUCACCUUUGUAGCCAAGUUUCUUGCUGCUCUUUAUGCCUUUAUUACUGCAGCAUGUUCGGGUAGCAGUUCACCGAGUGUCUCCUCUGAUUCCCGUGGCUUCAUCUCACCAAUU